ACGGAUGUAGUUUAAUGGUAGAAUGUCGGUCUCCAAAAUCGUCGAUCUUGGUUCGAAUCCAGGCAUCCGUG
rnacentral:tRNA from 1 species